rnacentral:snoRNA from 1 species
GUGUGAAUAUUCUUGCUGUUCUGAUUUUGUAAUAAUCUGGUUAGGUUAAACAUUCGCUAUAUUAAGACCAUGCAUGUGUCCUGAGGCCUAGGUCUUUUCU